UAUGAUUCUGGAAUCAACAUACCUUAUGAAUUAGCAACGGUUCUAGUGCAACAUGAUUUGUCUUUUGUUCAGUCUAUGCUUCAUUUUGCUUAUAUUCUAAAUUUGCAGAAGCUGGACAAUUCAAAGUGGAAUCUCUUGCCUUUGGGGCAAAAAAAGCAUUACAUGAAAAGAAAGAAGAGAGACCUAGGAAGGCAGUGGAACAAGAGCCUGAGAAAGAAAAAUUAAUGAAGACCACAGAAACCCAGAAGAAAAAGGAUAUCUCAAAAGAAAAAGUGAAACCUAUUGCUGUCAAAGGAAAAG